GCCUUUCUGUUGGUCCAAGCCACAGAACCAGUUGUAAGCUUUCCUACAGCAUCCCGGGUCCUCCUGGUUUUCCUCAUUAACUGGAAGGAAGAACACUCUGGUCAGGAAAGCUCAUCUGGGAAAAGAGGGAUUUUCUCCAUGUUCCAAGAGAGCCUUCUGCAGAAGACACUUGGGCCUUUUGCAGCCCAGAGACUUGGCCUGGUAUUGGGGAAGCAAACUGUGCUUCAAAGCUUAAGCUCCAUUUUUUUCAAUAUUUUCUACACUCUUAAUUGAAAGACAAAUAAAUUAAUUUGAGGAUACUGAUGAAAAGGAGCUUGAGAGCACAACCAGAAACCCAGUAAAGAAAGCAGCUCUGUCCUGCUCCUCAUCUGCAUCGAGAUCAAUCCGUUCUUCUUUGCUGUGCCGCAAGGACCAGCACAAGCGGUAAAGCUGCC